GGCUUCUCCUCAGCAAGGGCCAGCCAUCUCUCUGACCUCAGCUCCUGCCUCCAUCCAGCCCCAACUCAUUCAUGUGGACCCUUAGCCCCUGGAGCUUCAGUGGAGGCAGAUGGGGGUCCAGCAAGAAUGCCAAAGCAGCCAUCUCAUGAUGUUUGACAACAUUCAUCUGAGCUGUUUCAUGUUUAACAUGUCUUCCAACUCUGUAAAAUUACAGAAUGGAAUAUGAAAGAUGGCAUUUUAUUCUAUGGCUGGUGAAAAGGAUGAAAAAAGACACCACUUGUUUUUUUUCAUUCAUGCAGCUGAUAUUGGUUGAGCACCUAUUAUGUUCUUAAGCACGAUGCUAGACGCAAGCGAUAUCAAGUUGGCUAAGACUCUCCAACAACCAUGCUUUGGGCUGAUAGAUGUGUGAACAAAUAACUACUGGUGGUGAUCGCUGUAAUGGAAGAAGGUGACACAGGUGCAGAGGAGGAAAUGGCUAACUGCCAGAGAAGCCAGAUAAGACCUCAAGGUAGAAGCAACCUCUGAACUGAAUCUUGGGUUUUUUUCUGUAAAGGACCAUACAGUAAAUAUCUGAAGCUUUGCAGGCCGUACAGUCUCUGCUGCAACUACUCAACUCUGCCACUGUAACACGAGGUCAGCCAUAGACAAUAGAUAAAUGAAUGGGUGCAACUGUGCACCAAAAUGACAUUAUUUAUGGACACAGAAAUUUAAAUUCUCUAUAACUUUCAUGAGUCAUGAAACGUCAUUUUUCUUCUGGUAUUUUUUCGGCCAUUAAAAAAUACAUUUUUCACCAACCUGAUGCUUAAAAAUGAAAAUACAAAAACUUUCUUGGCUCUUGGGCCACAGGAAACCAGGUAGAGGGACAGAUGUGAUCCACGGGCUGUGAUUUGCAGACCCCUGUCUUAAAGGCUGAAUUGGCAUACCCCUGGUGAAGAUGGAGGUAUGAGUUAGUAACGAGAGUAAAGGGGGGUCUCUGCAGUGUAAGGUCCUUAGCAAAGUCUCAGAAACACAUAAAGAUUGAGUCUAUUUGGGAAAUUGAGGUCGUUGUGAGAGUGAGGCCUGGGGUCCGGAUCGAAACUGGAAAAGUCAAUAGUCAACAGUUUUUAUAUGCCCACUGUUGAACACAUCAUUAUUUUAAAAUAUUACUACAUAAAAUUACAAUUAAAUAAAUUACAUUUAAAAGAAAACUGGCCGGGUUCAGUGGCUCACGCCAUAAUCCCAACACUUUGAGAGGCCAAGAUAGGCAGAUUGCUUGAGCCCAAGACCAGCCUGGGCAACAUAGCAAAACCUCGUCUUUACUAAAAUUACAAAAAUUAUCCAGGAGUGUUGGUGUGCCUGUAGUCCAAGCUACUUGGGAGGCUGAGCUGGGAGGAUGGCUUAAGCCCAGGAGAUGAAGGUUGCGGUGAGCUGUGAUCACGCCACUGCACUCUAGCCUGGAUGACAGAGAAGAACCUGUCUCAAAACAAGAAAACACACACACAAAAC
rnacentral:lncRNA from 1 species